UUAAACUGUAGUAGACCGUCUGAGAAACCAGAUUUCCUCUUCGGAGGCUGCUACGGAGGUGCUGCAUGGCUGUNGUCAGCUCGUGUCGUGAGAUGUUGGGUUAAGUCCCGCAACGAGCGCAACCCCUACCCUUAGUUGCCAGCGGUUCGGCCGGGAACUCUAAGGGGACUGCCCCGGAAAUCGGGGAGGAAGGUGGGGAUGACGUCAAGUCCUCAUGGCCUUAUAUGUCCAGGGCUACACACGUGCUACAAUGGGCGGUACAAAGGGUUGCGAAGCCGUGAGGUGGAGCUAAUCUCAAGAAACCGUCCUCAGUUCGGAUUGCAGUCUGCAACUCGACUGCAUGAAGUUGGAAUCGCUAGUAAUCCCAGAUCAGCAUGCUGGGGUGAAUACGUUCCCGGGCCUUGUACACACCGCCCGUCACAUCACGAAAGUCGGCUGUACCGGA
rnacentral:rRNA from 1 species